rnacentral:rRNA from 1 species
GAUAAACGCUGGCGGCGUGCCUAAAACAUGCAAGUCGAACGGGCGCUUUCGGGCGUCAGUGGCGAACGGCUGAGUAACACGUGGGUGACCUGCCUUCGAGCGGGGGAUAACUGCCCGAAAGGGUGGCUAAUACCGCAGAUGUCGUUUCUUCGGUGAGGCGACUAAACCGAUUAGGGUUCGAAGAGGGGCCUGCGUCCGAUUAGCUAGUUGGUGGGGUGAAGGCCUACCAAGGCGACGAUCGGUAGCUGGUCUGAGAGGAUGAUCAGCCAGACUGGGACUGCGAGACGGCCCAGACUCCUACGGGAGGCAGCAGUUAGGAAUUUUGGGCAAUGGGCGGAAGCCUGACCCAGCAACGCCGCGUGGGUGACGAAGGCCCUCGGGUCGUAAAGCUCUUUCGGCCGGGAAGAAAUCGCAUGGGCUAAUACCCUGUGCGGAUGACGGUACCGGCAUAAGAAGCACCGGCUAACUACGUGCCAGCAGCCGCGGUAAGGCGUAUGUGU